rfam:Octopus bimaculoides Scaffold14165_contig_54, whole genome shotgun sequence.
AUCAUGGUGCUUAUAAGCACCACUCACACACACAGUCAUAAUCCAU